GUAGGGUGCAAGCGUUAAUCGGAAUUACUGGGCGUAAAGCGUGCGCAGGCGGUUGUGCAAGACCGAUGUGAAAUCCCCGGGCUUAACCUGGGAAUGGCAUUGGUGACUGCACGGCUAGAGUGUGUCAGAGGGGGGUAGAAUUCCACGUGUAGCAGUGAAAUGCGUAGAGAUGUGGAGGAAUACCGAUGGCGAAGGCAGCCCCCUGGGAUAACACUGACGCUCAUGCACGAAAGCGUGGGGAGCAAACAGGAUUAGAUACCCUGGUAGUCCACGCCCUAAACGAUGUCAACUAGUUGUCGGGUCUUAAUUGACUUGGUAACGCAGCUAACGCGUGAAGUUGACCGCCUGGGGAGUACGGUCGCAAGAUUAAAACUCAAAGGAAUUGACGGGGACCCGCACAAGCGGUGGAUGAUGUGGAUUAAUUCGAUGCAACGCGAAAAACCUUACCUACCCUUGACAUGGCAGGAAUCCCGGAGAGAUUCGGGAGUGCUCGAAAGAGAACCUGCACACAGGUGCUGCAUGGCUGUCGUCAGCUC
rnacentral:rRNA from 1 species